GUGCCAGCAGCCGCGGUAAUACGGAGGGUGCAAACGUUGCUCGGAAUCAUUGGGCGUAAAGCGCACGUAGGCGGUCGGCUAUGUCGGAUGUGAAAGCCUCGGGCUUAACCCGAGAAGGGCAUCCGAAACUGGCCGGCUUGAGUACGGAAGAGGGUCUCGGAAUUCCCGGUGUAGAGGUGAAAUUCGUAGAUAUCGGGAGGAACACCAGUGGCGAAGGCGGAGACCUGGGCCGAUACUGACGCUGAGGUGCGAAAGCGUGGGGAGCAAACAGGAUUAGAUACCCUUGUAGUCC
rnacentral:rRNA from 1 species